rnacentral:rRNA from 1 species
CGGGGUGCAGCAGGCGUCGAAUACUUUACAAUGCGGGAAACCGUGAUAAGGGAACUCCGAGUGCCCGUAAAAUCGGGCUGUCCAUCUGUUUAAAUAACAGGUGAAGAAAGGGCCGGGCAAGACCGGUGCCAGCCGCCGCGGUAAUACCGGCGGCUCGAGUGGUGGCCACUAUUACUGGGCUUAAAGCGUUCGUAGCUGGUCUGUUAAGUCUCUGGGGAAAUCUACUGGCUUAACCAAUAGGCGUUUCAGGGAUACUGGCAGACUAGGGACCGGGAGAGGUGAGGGGUACUCCAGGGGUAGGAGUGAAAUCCUGUAAUCCUUGGGGGACCACCUGUGGCGAAGGCGCCUCACCAGAACGGCUCCGACAGUGAGGGACGAAAGCUGGGGGAGCAAACCGGAUUAGAUACCCGGGUAGUCCCAGCCGUAAACGAUGCGCGUUAGGUGUAUCGGUGACCACGAGUCACCGAGGUGCCGAAGAGAAAUCGUGAAACGUGCCGCCUGGGAAGUACGGUCGCAAGGCUGAAACUUAAAGGAAUUGGCGGGGGAGCAC